GGCAGUUUACACAGCACUUUCAAGCCAUAAGUGCACUCAUUAUUUAUUAUAAUCAUGUAAUUAAGUAAGGCUGUUAAAUGAACUUUGUUUUCAAAUGACAAACUUCAACUUAAAGAGGUUAGAAGACUUGUCCAGGGUCAUGUUAACAGGUAAAUCUACUGUGAAUGUGAUGAGCCAAGCCCAGAUCACCAACUUCAAACAGAAUUAGAGGUACCUGUAGAGAGUUAUGCUGGCAGCCGGGCUUUUACUAAAGCCAGCAGAGCAGAGGAAAACAUUGGAAGGACUCAGUCACCAAGUUUCCUUCCCAUGAGAAGACUCAACUAUAUUUUUGUCAUGG